CGUCCUCGCCGGCCUCAUUUGCAGCGGCGCCUUUGAGUGAGUUCUGCAGUCGGAGUUCUAGACGGCGAUGUGCUGUGACUGGUAUUGCCUUCCCUCGCUGCUCCUAGAGGAAGUUCUCCUUCCUUACAGGCAGACAGACAGACGUCUGGCUUCCGUCGAGCGUGUUAGAGACUUCACACAGGUGUAUCGGCUGGAGCUGAGCACCCAUGACCAGUGUUCUCUGCAUUUGACUACUUGUGGCUUUCUGUAAUGGUCUCCUACUGCUGCGAAAAGAAUCUUCUGUGAUGAGGGGUCUUCCUCCAUGACAGUGGGAGUGUUGCCUGCUUUGUUUGGAGUUAGUCAGUUGAUGGACAUCUGGGCUGUUUCCGUUUCCUGACUAUUGUGAAUAGGAUAGCAAGAACGUAGAGUCCAAUAGGGUUAAAGGGAAAUGUUACUGAAGGGACCAGCUUCCCUUUUGGCAGCCAUAACGGCCGAACACGUGCUUCUAUGACCUUGUCCUAGACACUAGAAAGUCAGAUGCUUGCCUCGUGACAAGGAAACA